UACGGAGAGGCAGCGUUAUCCGGAAUUAUUGGGACGUAAAGGCGUCCGAUAGGUGGCUCUUCGUAAGUCUGCGUGUCAAAAGACGGUCGGGGGCUUUAACCCUGCGAAAGGCAGUGGAAACUGAAAGGCUAGAGAUCCGUAGGGGUAGAGGGAAUUCCCGGUGGUAGCGGUGAAAUGCGUAGAGAUCGGGAAGAACACGG
rnacentral:rRNA from 1 species